UCCUUAUCGCACCAGAUGAACAAACAUCUACAGGAACGAAUGGACCACAAGAAGACAGCUUGGCAGAGAAGCUGGAUCCAGGGCCUGACCACAGUGGACAAGUGCCAAUCCCUGCAGGCAAAAAGACCUUCAUCAUGAUUGUGUGUGAUGCCAGAAAUCCUGGCCGCUGCAUGGACCUCCUUUUGCUUUGUUUUUCUGACUUCAUUAUUGGGCGUUACAUUGAAGUUAAUGUAGUAAGUGAAGAAGAAUUACUCAUAGCAGUCACAGAGCCAUUUUCUUGGAAAAAAUCUAAAGCUACCCAGGCUCUGACAUCACCCAAGACAACUGUGGUGGUGACAACACAGAAAAGGAAUCUAAGAAGACAGUUGCCAAGUUUCCUCCCACAAUAUCCCAUACCAGAUAGACUAAAAAGAUGUGUGGAACAACAGCUGGAUAUAUUAACUUUUCAACCAUUGCUU